rnacentral:rRNA from 1 species
UACAGAGGUCUCAAGCGUUGUUCGGAUUCAUUGGGCGUAAAGGGUGCGUAGGCGGCGCGGUAAGUCGGGUGUGAAAUUUCGGAGCUUAACUCCGAAACUGCAUUCGAUACUGCGGUGCUUGAGGACUGGAGAGGAGACUGGAAUUCAUGGUGUAGCAGUGAAAUGCGUAGAUAUCGUAAGGAAGACCAGUGGCGAAGGCGGGUCUCUGGACAGUUCCUGACACUGAGACACGAAGGCCAGGGGAGCAAACGGG